GAGGUCAAGCAAAUCCCAUAAAGUUGUUCUCAGUUCGGAUUGUAGUCUGCAACUCGACUACAUGAAGCUGGAAUCGCUAGUAAUCGUAGAUCAGCAUGCUACGGUGAAUACGUCCCCGGGUCUUGUACACACCGCCCGUCACACCACGAGAGUUUGUAACACCCGAAGCCGGUGGAGUAACCUUUUAGGAGCUAGCCGUCGAAGGUGGGACAAAUGAUUGGGGUGAAGUCGUAACAAGGUAGCCGUAUCGGAAGGUGCGGCUGGAUCACCUCCUUU
rnacentral:rRNA from 1 species